rnacentral:misc_RNA from 1 species
GAUGAAGAACGUAGCGAAAUGCGAUAAGUAAUGUGAAUUGCAGAAUUCAGUGAAUCAUCGAAUCUUUGAACGCACAUUGCGCCCGCCAGUAUUCUGGCGGGCAUGCCUGUCUGAGCGUCAUUUCAACCCUCAUGCCCCUAGGGCGUGGUGUUGGGGAUCGGCCAAAGCCCGCGAGGGACGGCCGGCCCCUAAAUCUAGUGGCGGACCCGUCGUGGCCUCCUCUGCGAAGUAGUGAUAUUCCGCAUCGGAGAGCGAUGAGCCCCUGCCGUUAAACCCCCAACUUUCCAAGGUUGACCUCUGAUCAGGUAGGAAUACCCGCUGAACUUAAGCAUAUCAAUAAGCGGAGGA